CGAGCUCUACGUGGUGACGGAGCGGUGGAUGCGCCGCCAGAGCUUUUCGCUGCUCUGCGGUCACCUGAUCCGGCUGCCCAAUCCGCCGGUUAGCCCUGAGACCUUCGCCAGUCGCAUUUUGCCCAUGCUAGAACACCUGGCAAAGGACCCUGCCUGUGCCUAACGUUCGCCUCGCCGUCGCACAGUCUGUUAACCAGGACGUCCUCGCACAUCCGUACUUCUCUCCCAGCGGCGGUCCAGGUUACUACAUGAUUGAAGGAGUUGUACACGAUUUACAGCUGGACCGGGACCGCGAUGUGCGCUAUUUUUCCGGCGGCAUGCACGAGAGCUCUUACGAACUGUCGAACGAGACGCCUCUGAGCGAGGACUCGACGAUGGACCACAUGGCCUUUUCGAGCUGAGCCUGCAUUUGGAUUUGUGUUCACUCUGUUGCUGCAACAAAGAAUUUAAAAAAGGACGGAAGGUGCAGUUAGUUGGCUGUGACACGACUGCCGCUCGCGAAUAUUAUUGUUUGUGAGCUGGUCUCACUGCGAGACAGACUGAAGAAUUAAUUAAAAUCAUCGUGUUGCCUGUCCCCUAGCUCCACAGCGCAACGACGCAUUUUUUUACUAAUCGCGAGUUGAAUGAAUUAAAUUGUCAUGGUGCUACUCUCGGCGUCGUCCGGCCCCGGCGCCAAUGCGAAUAUUGAUUAACGUGCUUUUUGUACUGAGAGAAGGAGAAGACACGUCGGUGGACCAUUUUGCAGCGUUUUUACUCAAUUCUCCGAGAAAGCAAGCAUUGUGUGGUUCACUCGGGCUGUGGAUUUGCAAUAAAAGAAUUCAUAACUACUUAAA